UCUAAAAAAAGACGCUCAUUUUUAAUGCAUAGAACCAUAUUUUUUGUAAGGUUUUUGGUGUGUUUAAAAAGUUCGCGUCUCGUCAAAAUCAUUUGUGUGCAGUCAAGGUCAAGUGUGACAAAUUAUUUACAAUUUUUAAUUCCGUUUUUAGGCAAUUAAAAUGUAAUUAAAGAAAUAAUAAAUUAAUCAGUAUUGAAAAACUUGUCCUCUCAUCUUACUAAUCAGUAUAAAUUUGAUACAAAUAAAUAUUCAGUGCAUCCAAAUACUUUGAAGUCAAUUAUAAUGAGUUUGCAACCGUCUAAUUCACUUUGCGAAAAAUCGGAAGAAAAUUCGGCCCUGUUGGAAAAAAUCCUCGGCGACCCCAUGACAAAAUACUGGUUGUCUAAUAACCACAAUCCUUACGCAUUAAACAUCGUUCAUGAAAAUUCAGACGAAUACAACUACGUGCAACAAUUAUUUGAACGAACAGCUGGAAACUUAAUGAUCAGUAAAUUAGAGCGUGUAGAAAACCCCUACUUGGUUGGUUGUUAUUUAUUAAAAAAGAAGCAAAUGUGGGACAAAUGUGGCCAUUUAGUUGAGAAAACUUUAUUUCAUGGAACAAGGAAUGCUUUUGUUGAUAGCAUCUGCAAAUUUAAUUUUGACUGGCGAAGAAGUGGGACUUCUAAAGGAACAGUCUUUGGGAAAGGUGUUUAUUUUACUUCUGACGUCUCGUAUGCACAUGAAUAUACGUUCGGAGACAAUGUUAUGUUUCUUGCUAAAGUGCUGGUCGGGGACAGGGUCAAGGGGAAGGCCUCUUACGAGGUUCUCCCCGAACCGUUUGAUACCGCCACUAACGAUAAAGAAACUAUUUUUGUUAAAUUUGAGGACAAUGAGUUUUAUCCACAAUAUGUUAUACAGUACAGAUAAUUGCUUUUAAGAAUAAUAAUUUAAUAAAUUUAAAAUUAAGUUUAUAAUUAAGUUAAUAAUAAACUAAUAAGUUUCUUCUCUUCGAGUUAAUUGACUUGAAAUUGCACAAUUUAUACUUAAUUUAGCGAUGUUUGGAUUUUUUAGGGGAGAUUCUUUGAAAAAAAAUUUCUGGCUAUAAUACUCAGAAUUUGCUUAACUUAACGUGUUAUAAAUUUAUUUUGGUAAUCGGUGAGUCCCUGAAAACUGUCUACAAUAAUGAUGUAUAAUUCUAGGAGCUCUCGGCGAACAUAUUGUGCUUACAUUAAAAUAAUCUAGAAGAUAGCCAUAGCAUUGUCUUAAGAAACAAAUAAGUUAUAAAAAUUAUACAAACAGAACCAAAAGUAAUGCAUAAAAUUCAUAUCGCUGUUGUGGGUUAUAUGGGUCAUGUCAUGGGUCAUCGAACAGGUCGAUUUUAUUUUUUCAAAACUUUUAUUUAAUUUGUUUUGUCGUUUGUCUGUUUCAUAUUUCCGGACGAACUAAAAUUUUGCAUACACAUGUAAUUUCUGUGACAAUAUUAUUCACUUUAAUGAUUUAUAAACAAUAAACAAUUGUUAUAAUUAUGAACAAUUAUUUAUCAAUAACUCGGCUCUUAAAUUAAAUACGAAAAUGCAACUGAAACCAGUAGUUUUAUCACUGUCCUCCUAGGAUAACAUUGGUAAACCAUUGCGUUAUCUAGUGCAUUUCUACAGGAUUAGAGCAAAAAUGGUUUACAUGUGAGAGGGCAGAAUCUGUGUCAUGCUAAAAAAAUUAAAUUUUCAGUUUUUUACAAAUUACAAAUUAAAUUUACGAAUUAUUAGUUAUUUUUCUUCGAGCUGAAACCACUUGAAACUGGGUGAAAUAACGCAAUUUACAUGUAAUAAAUAUUUCGAUGUUUAUUUCCUUUUUUACAGGAAAUUUCUAGAAAUUUUUCUUACUUAAAAAGAACUCUAAAUACUCUGAAUCUGCUGCACUAACCUCUUUCAGACUUAUUUUGGUAUUUGGUGAGUCGCUGAAAAUUACCUAAAAAAAUUUAAUUCAGCGAGUUUUCGGCGAACGAAUUUUUUUUGUAUGCCACAAAUGUCACAAUAGAAAAAAAUCGACAUUUAUACAGGCGUUUAUACAUAGCGUUUAACGUAGUCUAAGCUGAUGCUUUAAAAUUUUUCUAAAUAUCAUAGCAUAUUUUAGACUAUACUCAACUUCCUUAUUUUAAAUUUGUACCCAUAUUUUUCUUUUCCCUAUUUGGAUAAUACUACUUUUUUGGUACAAAUACAAUGUGUACUGUUCUAUAUCUGUUUUGUUUUAUUUAAAAAGCCAUAACUAACUAAAAAGUUACUUAGAAUACCCGUUUUGUAUGAACUUGGUCGUUUGGUUCCACAUACAUCAAAUUAAAAAAAACUUAUACACAACAAUUUUUACAGCAAAAAUUAGUGCUGGUAUUUGUUAAGUAGAAAAUUACUACUAUUGAUUAAUUAACUAAAAGUGGCUAAAAGUAAAACAAAUUAAAUUGAAAGUUGUUUUUAGUUUUUAUAAUCGUCAAAAAAUAAUUAAAAGUAUAUAUUUAAAAUAAUAAUAAUAGUAGAAAUUAUAUUUCGCAAUAUGAGCCUUUAUGCGGUCAAAACGUCCGAAAAUAUUCUAAAGAGCUCCAUAACUUGUAUGUUAUUAAAGAUAUUGAUUUUUUCUUUUUUUUGAUGAUAGCUGUUUUUACUGCAUGUUUCUAAAAUAUUGCAGAAUAUAUACAGGGUAUUUCAAUAUUAAAAAAUACUGAAGUUAUGUUUUUCAAAUGGAAUACCCUAAACUUUAUUGCAUUUUUGGACAGAGCUUUUAAUAGUGAUGAUUUUAAUGUAAACUUGUAUUGGUCGAUUCAGUGUAGUUUUUGUAACAACUUAAUUUUUUUGCCAAAAACACGCUUUUUUUAAAAAAUCAUUACAUAAAAACUAAGAAUCUCAGAAAAGUAGAACUUUCACCACUUUAAAAAAGGAUGUUCAAGCUGAAAGGAAUUAUAAUUUUUAUUAGCUUACUGCAAUCAAGGAGAUACAAAAAGAAGAGGUCUGUUGCAAGUUGAUUAACUUCAAAAUUUUAAAUAGAACACCCAAUUUUUUAUUUUUGCAUCUAAAAGACCUUUAAAUUGUCUUUUUAAAAACAUUAACAGUUAAGUGACUUUUGCUGAUUAUUCAAAAGAUAUUUAACAUUAAACAUUAAAAAAAAUUACUAUUGUUUCAGUAGUCGAAAAGGGAAAUUUUCUGCUAAUAACAACCUGUACGUUUGUGUUUUAGUGAAACUUGUGUUUUAGUGAAGUUUUUGUUGUUGUUUUGUUUGGGUUUGCUUUAAUAUAGACAAAGUGUUUUAAUGUU